rnacentral:rRNA from 1 species
GAUGAACGCUGGCGGCGUGCCUAAUACAUGCAAGUCGAGCGAACGGAUUAAGAGCUUGCUCUGGUGAAUUAGUGGCGAACGGGUGAGUAACACGUGAGUAACCUGCCCUUGACUCUGGGAUAACUGCGGGAAACUGUAGCUAAUACCGGAUACGACCCUCGGCGGCAUCGCCAGGGGGUGGAAAGAAUUUCGGUCAAGGAUGGACUCGCGGCCUAUCAGCUAGUUGGUGAGGUAACGGCCCACCAAGGCGACGACGGGUAGCCGGCCUGAGAGGGGGACCGGCCACACGGGGACUGAGACACGGCCCAGACUCCUACGGGAGGCAGCAGUGGGGAAUAUUGCACAAUGGGCGCAAGCCUGAUGCAGCAACGCCGCGUGAGGGAUGACGGCCUUCGGGUUGUAAACCUCUUUUAGUAGGGAAGAAGCGAAAGUGACGGUACCUGCAGAAAAAGCACCGGCUAACUACGUGCCAGCCGCCGCCGUAA